UACGUAGGGGGCAAGCGUUGUCCGGAUUUAUUGGGCGUAAAGAGCGUGUAGGCGGUUAGGUAGGUCCGUUGUGAAAACUCGAGGCUCAACCUCGAGACGCCGAUGGAAACCAUCUAACUAGAGUCCGGAAGAGGAGAGUGGAAUUCCCGGUGUAGCGGUGAAAUGCGCAGAUAUCGGGAAGAACACCCGUGGCGAAGGCGGCUCACUGGCUCGUAACUGACGCUCAGGCGCGACAGCGUGGGGAUCAAACAGG
rnacentral:rRNA from 1 species